rnacentral:rRNA from 1 species
GGAGGAAUAUUGCACAACGGGGGGAACCCAGGUGCAGCAACGCCGCGUGAGUGAAGAAGGCCUUCGGGUCGUAAAACUCUUUUCUGAGGGAUGAGGAAGGACAGUACCUCAGGAACAAGUCUCGGCUAACUACGUGCCAGCAGCCGCGGUAAGACGAAGGAGGCGAGCGUUAUCCGGAUUUACUGGGCGUAAAGGGCAAGUAGGCGGUGAUGCAAGUCAGUUGUGACAGAUCCCGGCUCAACUGGAAAGGACGAUUGAGACUGCAUAACUAGAGGGCAGGAGAGGGGAGCGGAAUUCCUUGUGUAGCGGUGGAAUGCUCAGAUACAAGGAGGAACACCAGUGGCGAAGUCGGCUCUCUGGCCUGCACCUGACGCUGAAGAGCGAAAGCUAGGGGAGCGAACGG